GGGUGAGUAACGCGUGAGUAACCUGCCUUGCACAAGGGGAUAGCCGUUGGAAACGACGAAUAAUACCCUAUGAUGUUUCUAUCUCGCAUGAGAUAUUAACCAAAGUGUUAGCGGUGUAAGAUGGACUUGCGUCUGAUUAGCUAGUUGGUGAGAAAAAGCCCACCAAGGCAACGAUCAGUAGCCGGCUUGAGAGAGUGUACGGCCACAUUGGGACUGAGACACGGCCCAG
rnacentral:rRNA from 1 species